rnacentral:lncRNA from 1 species
AAAAAAGCUGCCUUUUCUGAGUGGGGUUGCUGAGUUGGCAGAUCCUGGGAGCCUGUCUGAGGAACAAUGCCAGGAGAGUCAGGCAGAGCUGUGAGGUGGGAAGACAGACCAAGAGCCCUACAGCUGGUCUCAGCAGCAAGUGGCGCACAACGUGAGGCACGAAGGAAGGGUCGCCAAAGAAUGACAGUGGAGUUUCAGCGGUGCGGAACCUGGAAGCGGUGUGAGGCCUCAGAAAAUUCCCCGUGUGGGUAUCGGCCUUGGGGAAGCACAGGCGUUGCGGCAGAGUUCAAAUGUAUUACAUUGCACGCGGCCGGAUGGACAAAAGGCUACCUUACAGCCUUAUGUCGCUGAUCUUCCCAUUAAUCUAAGGGGAUGAGACUUGUUAGAACAAUGGAAAACAGAAAUAUAUAUUCCUCCUCAGGUAUUCUAUAAGGAGC